rnacentral:ribozyme from 1 species
CGGACAAGGCACUGGAGAAUCACCGGCGGCGACAGCUGGAGGGAGAGUGCAACAGCAACCUUCGCAAUUGUCAGAUCAGGGUCAACCUGCAUCAAGGCCGCGUCCUUGGCAACAGCAAAGUGAACAAAAACAGCAUAACCAGCAAAAUCAAUUUGGAAAAUCAA